rnacentral:rRNA from 1 species
UACGGGGGGGGCAAGCGUUGUUCGGAAUUACUGGGCGUAAAGGGCCAGUAGGCGGCCAACUAAGUCGGAUGUGAAAUCCCCAGGCUCAACCUGGGAACUGCAUCCGAUACUGGAUGGCUUGAAUUCGGGAGAGGGAUGCAGAAUUCCAGGUGUAGCGGUGAAAUGCGUAGAUAUCAGGAGGAACACCGAUGGCGAAGGCAGGUCUCUGGGCACUUACUGACGCUGAGGAGCGAAAGCGUGGGGAGCGAACAGG